rnacentral:rRNA from 1 species
UGCCUACGGGACGCAGCAGUGAGGAAUAUUGGUCAAUGGGCGGAAGCCUGAACCAGCCAAGUCGCGUGAGGGAAUAAGGCCCUACGGGUCGUAAACCUCUUUUGCCGGGGAGCAAGGGCCGGGACGCGUCCCGGCCCGGAGAGUACCCGGAGAAAAAGCAUCGGCUAACUCCGUGCCAGCAGCCGCGGUAAUACGGAGGAUGCGAGCGUUAUCCGGAUUUAUUGGGUUUAAGGGUGGCGUAGGCGGGCUUUUAAGUCAGCGGCAAAAAUUCGGGGCUCAACCCCGUCCGGCCGUUGAAACUGGGG